rnacentral:rRNA from 1 species
CCUACGGGGCGCAGCAGUGGGGGAUAUUGGACAAUGGGGGGAACCCUGAUCCAGCGACGCCGCGUGAGUGAAGAAGUAUUUCGGUAUGUAAAGCUCUGUCAGCAGGGAAGAAAGAAAUGACGGUACCUGACCAAGAAGCCCCGGCUAACUACGUGCCAGCAGCCGCGGUAAUACGUAGGGGGCAAGCGUUAUCCGGAAUUACUGGGUGUAAAGGGAGCGUAGACGGUUAAGUAAGUCUGGAGUGAAAGGCCGGGGCCCAACCCCGGGACUGCUCUGGAAACUAUUGAACUUGAGUGCAGGAGAGGUAAGCGGAAUUCCUAGUGUAGCGGUGAAAUGCGUAGAUAUUAGGAGGAACACCAGUGGCGAAGGCGGCCUGCUGGACUGAAACUGACGUUGAGGCUCGAAAGCGUGGGGAGCAAACAGGAUUAGAUACCCCAGUAGUC